GGACCCGCACAAGUAGUGGAGCAUGUGGUUUAAUUCGAUGCAACGCGAAGAACCUUACCUACUCUUGACAUCUACAGGAUCCUGCGGAGACGCGGGAGUGCCUUCGGGAACUGUAAGACAGGUGCUGCAUGGCUGUCGUCAGCUCGUGUUGUGAAAUGUUGGGUUAAGUCCCGCAACGAGCGCAACCCUUAUCCUUGUUUGCCAGCGAGUAAUGUCGGGAACUCCAGGGAGACUGCCGGUGAUAAACCGGAGGAAGGUGGGGACGACGUCAAGUCAUCAUGGCCCUUACGAGUAGGGCUACACACGUGCUACAAUGGCGCAUACAGAGGGCAGCAAGCUAGCGAUAGUGAGCGAAUCCCAAAAAGUGCGUCGUAGUCCGGAUUGGAGUCUGCAACUCGACUCCGUGAAGUCGGAAUCGCUAGUAAUCG
rnacentral:rRNA from 1 species